UCCGCAGUGGUGUAAUGGUAACAUCUGUCGCUCUCACGCAUCCAAGGAUGUGAAAUCCGACAAGCCCGGGGUUCAAUUCCCCGCUGCGGAA